rnacentral:lncRNA from 1 species
AGAAAAGUUUGAUGGCUUGUUAAAUCAUUGUUGAUGUGAUUUCAUGUUUGUGUGGUUGUGAACUGUGCAAUGUUAUGAAAAUGGUCAUCUUCUCAUUAUUUGUGUGAACAUGUCAUUGCAUUAUUCUGAGGCAUGGUUGUGGAAGUGUUAUGUGCAUUGAGAAAGAAUGAUAACUUAAAGAGGAUAUACCAUUUUGAGGGACGUAUCGCGCGCCACGAUGGUUACUAUAUUUCGAGGGACGUAUCACGCGCCGCGAUGGAUACUAUAUUUCGAGGGAC